UGGCCGGUGAACACGACGAAUCAACCAUGAUCCCAAAAGGAAACUCCAGGUAGGGCCAAUUCGUCGAGGAUUGGAGGUUAAUCUUGAAAAAGUUUUGCUGUCUGUCGUCUCUGAGCAGCUGGGAGCGGACGUCACUUGGAGCGGCCGAAUGACAUUUAUGGCUGAAGCCAGUGGAGGCAAUGCCUGUUCCAUGAGGGAUUUUUAUUCCGGUGAUUUUUGAGAAACUUGCUUGAACUCAGCUUCUCAGGCAAACAAACACUACCGAUUGAGAUAAUCAGGAGAUAUGCAUGACAAGAGAAGUCCACGUUGGAUCAAACACGAAUACCUAAAAUGGGUUUUUAUGUCACCGUCUCGAAAAGCGGAAGAAAAAAAGAAUACCAGAACUAGCCAGGUACCACCACAAGUUUGUUCCCAAAGCUCAGCUGUGUCAUGCACGCUCAACCAUGGAAAGGGAAGGGCGAACCAAAAAGAAACAAACGACAGAAACACAACACGUGUGUGUAGUACCAUGCUACAUUUUUGCUUAUCUUUCCAGCCUGGUUUUCAACAAAAAUUGCCUUUGACAGUUUGGUUUGCCGGCUCCUUGACCCGAUUGAGGGCCCUAAGCUCCAAGCCACCACGUGGGAAUUCCUUCUUGGAAGAUUUUCGUUUCUGUCGCUUUCCGUUACACAAGGGCUUG
rnacentral:sRNA from 1 species